AUUGAACGCUGGCGGCAGGCUUAACACAUGCAAGUCGAGCGGGGGAAGGUAGCUUGCUACCGGACCUAGCGGCGGACGGGUGAGUAAUGCUUAGGAAUCUGCCUAUUAGUGGGGGACAACAUCUCGAAAGGGAUGCUAAUACCGCAUACGUCCUACGGGAGAAAGCAGGGGAUCUUCGGACCUUGCGCUAAUAGAUGAGCCUAAGUCGGAUUAGCUAGUUGGUGGGGUAAAGGCCUACCAAGGCGACGAUCUGUAGCGGGUCUGAGAGGAUGAUCCGCCACACUGGGACUGAGACACGGCCCAGAGUCCUACGGGAGGCAGCGGUGGGGAAUAUUGGACAAUGGGGGGAACCCUGAUCCAGCCAUGCCGCGUGUGUGAAGAAGGCCUUAUGGUUGUAAAGCACUUUAAGCGAGGAGGAGGCUACUCUAGUUAAUACCUAGGGAUAGUGGACGUUACUCGCAGAAUAAGCACCGGCUAACUCUGUGCCAGCCGCCGCCGUAA
rnacentral:rRNA from 1 species